rnacentral:snoRNA from 13 species
AGCCUUUGUGUUGCCCAUUCACUUUGGAAACUAGUGGAUGUGGUGUCAAAAAAGGCGUACAUUAAAUGCUUUGCGGCCUUUUCCUGCCCUUAAAUCUGGUAUUUUUGGUGUAGGAGCUGCAUAAGUAACAGUU